UGGCGGAGGGAUGGGGGUUGAAGUUUAGGGAGGGUCGCGGUGUCACCCCCCCUCCGUCGAGAACAGGGAGCGCGGGGUUGGCAGGCGACGUUUGGGAGGAGUUAAAUUCUUAGCGGGGGAGAGGGGUUAUGUGGACGCCACGCCCCUAUAGGAAGGAAGAAAGGGUAUAUGUAUGUUUAGGAAUAAACUUAGAGGGGUGGGGGCCACAGGGGUGGGCUCCCAGACUGAGAAACUGGAACACUGAAGGGUUACUGCAAGCAGGACUCGGGCCUCAAACAUCUAUGAGUGUGCUCUCUGGAGUGGCCCCGGGAAGGAGUUUGACGGAGAUUAAGAAUUACAUCCCUGGACAGUUUUGGAAGAAGAGAGGGAGGAGAGGUUUGAAGGAAGGAGCGAGGAAUGCACGUGGAAGGUGCCAGCAUCUUGGUCUGGAAAGGAUUUAAAUAAAUUGAAGAGAGCUGGUGGAUUAAAACACUGAACACCCUAAGAAGCUUGGGAGAUUCGAUUAGUGUGGCGCUUUAGACAAGAGGACGUUCUUUUCUACAUUUCUUAGAAGACAGCACACACUAUGAGUGCUUUUGGUUGCUUUUCUUUACUUAGAUACGACCCUUGUUUUAUCCUGAGCCUGUGUAUGUGUACAUAUUGGUGAGGUGACUGUGUUUUGGAGUGCAAUAUGUGAAUGAGGUUAAUACAGAAAUCAGCCUCCUGGGCCAUGCCGUUUCUAAAGCAUGUUUCUUAUGAGCCCCAGCAGAAGACAGACGCACCAGUUCUCACAGUGGAUGACUUUUCCUGCCUAAACAAGAGAUCGGCUAGUACCUUGGAUCUGUCCAUCACCAGACCCGUAGCUCAAUAAGUCAGCUGAAUGAAGGGAUGUAACAGACCCCUGGGAGGGACACUGAAGCUUGCAGUGUGGGGGGGGAGGGGCCUGGACACACCCCUUCCCCCCCAGACUCCUCCUCCUCCGAGUCCACUCAGCCAUGGACUUUGGACCUGGAUAACAGGAGAAAAGCUGAACUUUGGUGGAUCUGAUUUGGGACUCACAGUUUUGGAAAUGGAGUGCUGGCUGGGGGUUUGAUGAUCUCCAGGGGAGCAGCUGACAGAAGAGAAGAAAGUAGAAAAUGGGGAUAACUGAUUUUCCAAGUCCCUCACAAGUUGUUACAAGGAGCAAAUGAAAUAAUGACGGAUUUUGGACUGUACCUACAGCUGUGAACUCCUUCAUAUGAAGCUAACAUUGACAUUACCUGAUAUGCCUAUUUGUUACACAGAAAAACUAUGAAUUAAGAGUUC